GACGAACCGUCCUAACGUUGUUCGGAAUCACUGGGCCUUAAAGGGCGCGUAGGCGGACCAUCAAGUCCGGGGUGAAAUCUUUCGGCUUAACCGGAAAAGUGCCUUGGAUACUGAUGGUCUCGAGUGAGGUAGGGGCAUGUGGAACUUCUGGUGGAGCGGUGAAAUGCGUUGAUAUCAGAAGGAACUCCGGUGGCGAAAGCGACGUGCUGGACCUCUUCUGACGCUGAGGCGCGAAAGCUAGGGGAGCGAACGGG
rnacentral:rRNA from 1 species